rnacentral:rRNA from 1 species
CUACGGGAGGCAGCAGUAGGGAAUCUUCCGCAAUGGGCGAAAGCCUGACGGAGCAACGCCGCGUGAGUGAUGAAGGUCUAVGGAUCGUAAAACUCUGUUAUUAGGGAAGAACAAAUGUGUAAGUAACUAUGCACGUCUUGACGGUACCUAAUCAGAAAGCCACGGCUAACUACGUGCCAGCAGCCGCGGUAAUACGUAGGUGGCAAGCGUUAUCCGGAAUUAUUGGGCGUAAAGCGCGCGUAGGCGGUUUUUWAAGUCUGAUGUGAAAGCCCACGGCUCAACCGUGGAGGGUCAUUGGAAACUGGAAAACUUGAGUGCAGAAGAGGAAAGUGGAAUYCMAUGUGUAGCGGUGAAAUGCGCAGAGAUAUGGAGGAACACCAGUGGCGAAGGCGACUUUMUGGUCUGUAACUGACGCUGAUGUGCGAAAGCGUGGGGAUNAAACAGGAUUAGAUACCCUGGUAGWCCAMGCCGUAAACGAUGAGUGCUAAGUGUUAGGGGGUU